AUUGAACGCUGGCGGUAUGCUUAACACAUGCAAGUCGAACGAUGAGAAAGAGCUUGCUCUUUCGAUUAGUGGCGGACGGGUGCGUAACGCGUAGGAAUCUACCUAUUAGUGGGGGACAACUUAGGGAAACUUAAGCUAAUACCGCAUACGCCCUACGGGGGAAAGAAGGGGAUCGCAAGACCUUUUGCUAAUAGAUGAGCCUGCGUAGGAUUAGCUAGUUGGUGGGGUAAAAGCUCACCAAGGCGACGAUCCUUAACUGGUUUGAGAGAAUGAUCAGUCACACUGGAACUGAGACACGGUCCAGACUCCUACGGGAGGCAGCAGUGGGGAAUAUUGGACAAUGGGCGAAAGCCUGAUCCAGCAAUACCGUGUGUGUGAAGAAGGCCUUAGUGUUGUAAAGCACUUUCAAUUGGAAGGAAAACCUCGAAGCUAAUACCUUCGAGUUUGACAUUACCUUUAGAAGAAGCACCGGCUAACUCCGUGCCAGCAGCCGCCGUAA
rnacentral:rRNA from 1 species